rnacentral:lncRNA from 10 species
GGGGAAGCGGAAUUCCUAGGCAGAGCGCAGCGCUCAUUUGCACACAUUAGCCUUUCAGAUCUGGACACCGCUCAUGCCAGACCCAGUCGGCACAGAACAGCUGCUGGGGCAGGACUCCGUGUCCCUGAGCUCAGAGUCAAGGGCCUGGCACUCGGGGUCCCCCCCGGCUCCCUCCUGUCCCGAAGUCUCUUCCUUCACAGUCCCUGGACCCCACCGGCAGGUCCACAGGGAGGUGCAGGGCCGUCGUCACCUCAUCACUCCCGACUUCACGGAGUGUCUGCACCUGACGCUGAGCCGCGGCCUUCCCUGUCUCUGACCUAACCCUUCCGCGAGUGCCAGCAAUCGGGAAGAGCAGUUGUUCACGGAGCCGCUUGGGAACUCACCCCACCUGUGCCGACCCCAGCACAAACCUCAACCUCCUGCAGGCGGGGCUGGCUCAGCACAGGGUAGGGGGUGACUUGCCAGAGCCCGGGCAGGAUUUGUCUCCCAGCCCGGUGCACCACGGCCCCAUCCAGGAUUCGUCUCCCAGCCCGGUGGACCACGGCCCCAUCCAGCCUGUCCUGGCCACUGCUCUGUGACCUCCCAGCCCUGGGGCCCUGCAGAGGCACUUGGGCGCAGACAGGGCAGGCCUGAGACGGCACCUGGAGGGAGGCUGGCUGCUGGGACACUGCUGGGGACCAGUGCUCUCCUCCCUGUCCGAGCGGGGCCAGGUGUCCCCUUCAGGCCUGGCCUCUGACCCUGGCCUGUGACCCUGUAGCUCACGCACGAGGACAUCCUGAGUUGACCCAACCUGCCCGAGUCCAGCUGCUUGUCCAGACUCCUGCGAGAAAACCCAGAGCGGAAGUGAGGACUCAGAAAAGGAAGCCACCAGGUUCAUGGGAUGUAAUACGGAGCAAGAGUCAGGAUGCUGGAGUGCUCUGAGUCACCGUUGGGUGGCCACUCCCCACCCGCAGCCCACCUGGGCAGGGCGAGCCAGGGACGCAGGCGACAGCUUUGGGUGGAAGACAAUAUGCAAAUCAGGACAUUUUUCCUCGUGGUUCAGAAGUGCUUCCUUGACAGGGCUUCAGCCAAGCCCCAGGCAGACGCCAGAGCCGCAGAUGCAGAGGCCCAAACAGCCUUUGCUUGCCAGGAAAUGCCCCCUGGAUGUUUAGAUUUCGGGAAUAAUAUUUUCAAAAAUCAAUCUCUCAUGCGUCUGUUGUUUCGGCUGUGACAACAAGGGUGUUUUCCUUGGAUGUGUGCACAGGGCCCCCAGCUCCCUGCAGCAGAGUAAGCCCUCGGCAGAGACAAAGUGGACUCUGUCACAGCCCUAACAAGCCGACCACCUGCUGGCUCGCCACUUCCUAGCCGGGCCUUUCUCCCUGAGUGUUGUGUGUUAGUGAUUCUGUGACUCUGCCUUUCUCCCUGAGCGUUGUGCGUUAGUGAUUCUGUGAGUCUGGCUUUUCUCCCUGUCCGUUGUGUAUUAGUGAUUCUGUGACUCUGCCUUUCUCCCUGAGCGUUGUGCGUUAGUGAUUCUGUGAGUCUGGCCUUUCUCCCUGAACGUUGUGUGUUAGUGAUUCUGUGACUCUGCCUUUCUCCCUGAGCGUUGUGUGUUAGUGAUUCGGUGAGUCUGACUUUCUCCCUGAACGUUGUGUGUUAGUGAUUCUGUGACUCUUUCUCCCUGAGCGUUGUGCGUUAGUGAUUCUGUGAGUCUGGCCUUUCUCCCUGAGCGUUGUGUGUCAGUGAUUCUGUGACUCUGACUUUCUCCCUGAGCGUUGUGUGUUGGUGAUUCGGUGAGUCUGACUUUCUCCCUGAGCGUUGUGUGUUAGUGAUUCUGUGAGUCUGACUUUCUCCCUGAGCGUUGUGUGUUAGUGAUUCUGUGACUCUGCCUUUCUCCCUGAGCAUUGUGACUUAGUGAUUCUAUGAGUCUGGCUUUUCUCCCUGAGCGUUGUGCAUUAGCGAUUCUGUGACUCUGGCUUUUCUCCCUGAGCGUUGUGUGUUGGUGAUUCGGUGAGUCUGACUUUCUCCCUGAGCGUUGUGUGUUAGUGAUUCUGUGAGUCUGACUUUCUCCCUGAGCGUUGUGUGUUAGUGAUUCUGUGACUCUGCCUUUCUCCCUGAGCAUUGUGACUUAGUGAUUCUAUGAGUCUGGCUUUUCUCCCUGAGCGUUGUGCAUUAGCGAUUCUGUGACUCUGGCUUUUCUCCCUGAGCGUUGUGUGUUAGCGAUUCUGUGAGUCUGACGCUGCACAGGUGGGCGAUGCUUUGCUCCGGCCGGCUCACCUCCCCGAUGAAAGCCCGCUCAACGGCAUCUGCAGGGCACUGCCCACCCCACCGCGGGGCUGAGACACCUUCCCUAGCACGGCCUCGCGUCUACAGAAAGCCGCUGAGAAGGCAGGUGGGGUCCGGCGCUGCCCACCGUUCUCCAGCCGUGCUGGCCACCACUGGGCUCCCAGACCAAGGCCCAUGGACUGUCCCCCAUGCCUGUCUACCGUGAAUACACUCAUUGCUCAGUCUCUAACUUCCCUAUUUAGAGACUGAGUAUUAUACACUCAGAAAAAUAACAACAGCUCACGGCUGCUGGCCCCUUGCGGGUCCCUACCCGGGUUUCAUCUGAUACCUGUGGGAACCUGGUGCGGCCAGCCUGGCAUUCACCUCCACUCCUAAUCCCAUUUUAA